GUCAUUGUUGUCGGCUCACUGAGAGCACUGCUUCUACUGCCUAGCCUGGAUUCGUGUCCUUGUGAAAUAUUUGUGAUCACAUCUCUGUUAAUGACACUAGAAUGAGAACAGAAUAGUCUCCAAACAGUCUCCUUUUUUCGAAGACUUAAAUCCAUCCUGAAUGUGUGUAUCAACUAGCAAGAUGUCUGUCUGCCUCCUAACUUCCCACUGCAGGAACUUCAGGUGUGAACAUUAAAUCUGACCUAACAUUAGUCCUGCCUCUGAAGGUUUAAAUCAUUCUGUGACUCUGUCAUCUUUUUACACUGAAAUGUCUUUUGCUGGCUUGGAAGGACGCAUUGGGAGCUUGUAAAGACAACUUUAAGUCAGUAUCAACCUCAUGUGAAUAUGUCAUGAAGAGCUAUCAGCUCUCAAACCAUUAUGCUUACUGCUUGUUCUCUAGUAUUGCGAAGGAAAGGCAAGUACAUUUAAUGAGCUCAGUUCACUCCUGGGUCACACCAGGGCAGAAGGACAAGACCUCCAUUGCUGGAAAGACCACCCAAAGAGGAGGAAGCUGUGCUUGCCCAGGAGGGAGAGCAAUUGUAUGAUGGUCUGGACAGGAAAGCAGGAAAGUACCUUUGAUAUCCAGGAGUCCAGAGGACAGGAAAGAAAGGAUGAAGACAUAAAAUUAAGAAAGUUCUACCUGGGCAAAGGACUUCACCAAAUAGAAGCUAAAGACCCUGCAGAUGUAACCCCCAAGCCUCCUCUCCAUUGGUCUUCUGCAGAGCUUCCAUAGAUUUGUUAUAGUAAUAUGGUAAGAAUUAAGCCAAUGGCAUUUAAGGUAUUGUUAUAAAAAUACUGCACAAAGAUAAUACAUGCUGUAUCAUACAGUGUAUCAG